rnacentral:rRNA from 1 species
AUUGAACGCUGGCGGCGUGCCUAACACAUGCAAGUCGAACGAGUAGCGGACGGGUGAGUAAUGUCUUGGAAACUGCCCGAUGGAGGGGGAUAACUACUGUAAACGGUAGCUAAUACCGCAUACCAUCCGAUUUGCCCAGAUGGGAUUAUCUAGUAGGUGGGGUAACGGCUCACCUAGGCGACGCUCCCUAGCUGGUCUGAGAGGAUGACCAGCCACACUGGAACUGAGACACGGGCCAGACUCCUACGGGAGGCAGCAGUGGGGAAUAUUGCACAAUGGGCGCAAGCCUGAUGCAGCCACGCCGCGUGUAUGAAGAAGGCCUUCGGGUUGUAAAGUACUUUCAGCGAGGAGGCGUUACUCGAAGAAGAAGCAACGGCUAACUACGUGCCAGCAGCCGCGGUAAUAC